UUCAUAAAAGGAACUAGCAGAGUGCGUUUGCAGUUUAAUGUACAUUGUUGUUAAGUUAACCAGUGAGUGGGUGCCAGGUGCGUUUCAUUUCCUGCAUCAGUCACCUCUUCCCCAGCUGUACUAUGCCACUCCAGGUAGCCGCCUUGAAAUGGGUGAAGAGCUACCCUCCUGUGAAGAAAGCUAAUGGUCCGUUACUGGUGUUCUUUCAUACAUGAAAGCAAACAUCUUGAACAUCUCCCAGGACAUAUGUACAUCAUACAGAUAAGUCACUUAACAUCCAUGUGUGCAACAGCACUGCUCCACUGAACUUCCUCUUCCGGCUUUUAAGGACACACUGUAACUGUGCUCAUUCAGUAUUUUUACCCCUGACCUAUUAAUUCAGUCCCCACUGUGGUUCCUGUAGGUGGCACUGAGU
rnacentral:lncRNA from 1 species